AUUGAACGCUGGCGGCAGGCCUAACACAUGCAAGUCGAACGAGUGGCGGACGGGUGAGUAAUGUCUGGGAAACUGCCCGAUGGAGGGGGAUAACUACUGGAAACGGUAGCUAAUACCGCAUACCAUCGGAUGUGCCCAGAUGGGAUGAGCUAGUAGGUGGGGUAACGGCUCACCUAGGCGACGAUCCCUAGCUGGUCUGAGAGGAUGACCAGCAACACUGGAACUGAGACACGGUACAGAGUCCUACGGGAGGCAGAAGUUGGGAAUAUUGCAGAAGGGGCGCAAGCCUGGUGCAACCAUGGCGAGUGUAUGAAGAAGGCCUUCGGGUUGUAAAGUACUUUCAGCGAGGAGGCGUUACUCGCAGAAGAAGCACCGGCUAGCUCCGUGCCAGCAGCCGCGGUAAUUG
rnacentral:rRNA from 1 species